rnacentral:rRNA from 1 species
UACGGAGGGAGCUAGCGUUAUUCGGAAUUACUGGGCGUAAAGCGCACGUAGGCGGCUUUGUAAGUUAGAGGUGAAAGCCUGGAGCUCAACUCCAGAACUGCCUUUAAGACUGCAUCGCUUGAAUCCAGGAGAGGUGAGUGGAAUUCCGAGUGUAGAGGUGAAAUUCGUAGAUAUUCGGAAGAACACCAGUGGCGAAGGCGGCUCACUGGACUGGUACCGACGCUGAGACGCGAAAGCGUGGGAAGCAAACAGG